CGGUUCCCAUUCCCGAUCCCAUUCCUCGUCCGCAGCCAAUGCCGGAUCCGCCGCCGGAUGAAGAACCUAUUAAAU
rnacentral:misc_RNA from 1 species